ACAUCCAGAGAAUUUAGCAGAGAUGCUUUAGUGCCUUCGGGAACUCUGAGACAGGUGCUGCAUGGCUGUCGUCAGCUCGUGUUGUGAAAUGUUGGGUUAAGUCCCGCAACGAGCGCAACCCUUAUCCUUUGUUGCCUGCACGUAAUGGUGGGAACUCAAAGGAGACUGCCGGUGAUAAACCGGAGGAAGGUGGGGAUGACGUCAAGUCAUCAUGGCCCUUACGAGUAGGGCUACACACGUGCUACAAUGGCGCAUACAAAGAGAAGCGACCUCGCGAGAGCAAGCGGACCUCAUAAAGUGCGUCGUAGUCCGGAUUGGAGUCUGCAACUCGACUCCAUGAAGUCGGAAUCGCUAGUAAUCGUAAAUCAGAAUGUUACGGUGAAUACGUUCCCGGGCCUUGUACACACCGCCCGUCACACCAUGGGAGUGGGUUGCAAAAGAAGUAGAUAGCUUAACCUUCGGGAGGGCGUUUACCACUUUGUGAUUCAUGACUGGGGUGAAGUCGUAACAAGGUAAGCGUAGUGCU
rnacentral:rRNA from 1 species